rnacentral:rRNA from 1 species
GACGAACGCUGGCGGCGUGCUUAACACAUGCAAGUCGAACGGAAAGGCCCUGCUUUUGUGGGGUGCUCGAGUGGCGAACGGGUGAGUAACACGUGAGUAACCUGCCCUUGACUUUGGGAUAACUUCAGGAAACUGGGGCUAAUACCGGAUAGGAGCUCCUGCUGCAUGGUGGGGGUUGGAAAGUUUCGGCGGUUGGGGAUGGACUCGCGGCUUAUCAGCUUGUUGGUGGGGUAGUGGCUUACCAAGGCUUUGACGGGUAGCCGGCCUGAGAGGGUGACCGGCCACAUUGGGACUGAGAUACGGCCCAGACUCCUACGGGAAGCAGCAGUGGGGAAUAUUGCACAAUGGGCGGAAGCCUGAUACAGUAACGCCGCGUGCGGGAUGACGGCCUUCGGGUUAUAAACCGCUUUCGCCUGUGACGAAGCGUGAGUGACGGUAAUGGGUAAAGAAGCACCGGCUAACUACGUG